CCUGGUGACAAGAAGUUAGCUCCAGUUGAUUAGGGUUGUGAAUUUGUACUUGAUUUUCUGUAUUCUUAGACAUGUGUGUGUGUCAAAAGUGAAGGGAAUUGAUGAGAGAAAGGUUUUACAUGUUGCUGUGGUUGCUGUCACUGCUAGCAUAUCUAUAGGAGUAUGGAUGGCGAGACCAGAGUUGACAGCAGCCGCAACUUGAACUCUUCCUGCACCGAGAGAUUCUGCUGCCUCAGCACAUACUGUUGUUACAAGAGCUGCUGCUGAAGCAAGAACAGCACCCAUAUUGUUUCUCUGUUCUCCUGAUAUAGCAUUAUUGAAGUGAAACUCUUCUGUUUCUGCUUUGCUACUGCUGGCAAGCCCGGCAAUUGCUGCAGCAAGCUGUGUAAGAGAGAGUGCAGCAUGCACUUUUGCAGUUCUCAGUCGGAGUUUCUCUUUCUUCUCCUGAUGUGAUGAUCUGAAGAACCUAGUUAAUAAGUUGCCCUUUGACCAUUGCUUCAUUACAGAGGAAUUAUCUUCUCUAGUUGCUAGUGCUUUACUGGUGGUAUUCCGAGACAUCUCCUCGAGUUGUUCUUGCUGGUAUUCUAGGUCUGUGCUUGUCACUGGCAAGAGAUGGUUCUGCAGAGGUAGAAAAAAGAAAAGAUUGUAAGAGCAGGGGAUUGUACGUGAAUUUCCUAAUUCACUUCACAGAGUGCAAAUUGUGUACACCAAGGCUGUCGUUGAACUAUUGAAGGAAUUCGUUGGAAGAAGGGCUCCAUGUUCUACACAAGAAUUCCAUGGCGUUGGUCUGAGUUGAUGUCAUCUCUCUUGAUUGAGGGUAAGAAUGGAAUGGGUUUGCCUGUUGGCUUCUUCUCCAGCAUAUCUUCUCUGGUUCAAUGGCCUAAGAAUUGGGGCAGAAAAACAACCCGACAUGUUAGGUAAGAUUUCUGUAUGGACUCAUCAACUGUGCAUAUAUAGAGCUAUAACUUAGGAGGGCUUUAGCCCAGUGGUAGGGUAAAGCUCCAUCAUCAUUCCUCUCUCUCAUGAUGCACUAAAAAGAAAUAGUGUGAGAACUCACAGGUGAGUAGGACACUGAGUUUUGCUUAGCCAUAAUUUGAACUCUCUUCUUGUAGUUUCAAGUUUCCAAACUGCCACAGAAAUUAUAUUUAAAUCUGAAUACUAUUGAUUGAA